GAUGAACGCUAGCGGGGGGCCUAACACAUGCAAGCCGAGCGGUAUUUGUUCUUCGGAACAGAGAGAGCGGCGCACGGGUGCGGAACACGUGUGCAACCUGCCUUUAUCUGGGGGAUAGCCUUUCGAAAGGAAGAUUAAUACCCCAUAAUAUAUUGAGUGGCAUCAUUUGAUAUUGAAAACUCCGGUGGAUAGAGAUGGGCACGCGCAAGAUUAGAUAGUUGGUGAGGUAACGGCUCACCAAGUCAAUGAUCUUUAGGGGGCCUGAGAGGGUGAUCCCCCACACUGGUACUGAGACACGGACCAGACUCCUACGGGAGGCAGCAGUGAGGAAUAUUGGACAAUGGGUUAGCGCCUGAUCCAGCCAUCCCGCGUGAAGGACGACGGCCCUAUGGGUUGUAAACUUCUUUUGUAUAGGGAUAAACCUACUCUCGUGAGAGUAGCUGAAGGUACUAUACGAAUAAGCACCGGCUAACUCCGUG
rnacentral:rRNA from 1 species